GGUUGAAGGUUGGGUAACACUAACUGGAGGACCGAACCGACUAAUGUUGAAAAAUUAGCGGAUGACCUGUGGCUGGGGGUGAAAGGCCAAUCAAACCGGGAGAUAGCUGGUUCUCCCCGAAAGCUAUUUAGGUAGCGCCUCGUGAAUUCAUCUCCGGGGGUAGAGCACUGUUUCGGCUAGGGGGCCAUCCCGGCUUACCAACCCGAUGCAAACUGCGAAUACCGGAGAAUGUUAUCACGGGAGACACACGGCGGGUGCUAACGUCCGUCGUGAAGAGGGAAACAACCCAGACCGCCAGCUAAGGUCCCAAAGUCAUGGUUAAGUGGGAAACGAUGUGGGAAGGCCCAGACAGCCAGGAUGUUGGCUUAGAAGCAGCCAUCAUUUAAAGAAAGCGUAAUAGCUCACUGGUCGAGUCGGCCUGCGCGGAAGAUGUAACGGGGCUAAACCAUGCACCGAAGCUGCGGCAGCGAACGUAUCACCCAAGACAACUUUACGGAGUUGACGAUUGACGGAGCGAAGCGACGUCAAAGCGUUCAUUAAAGUCGAGUUGGCUUAGGGAUACGUUCGUUGGGUAGGGGAGCGUUCUGUAAGCCUGUGAAGGUGUGUCGUGAGGCAUGCUGGAGGUAUCAGAAGUGCGAAUGCUGACAUAAGUAACGAUAAAGCGGGUGAAAAGCCCGCUCGCCGGAAGACCAAGGGUUCCUGUCCAACGUUAAUCGGGGCAGGGUGAGUCGACCCCUAAGGCGAGGCCGAAAGGCGUAGUCGAUGGGAAACGGGUUAAUAUUCCCGUACUUGGUGUUACUGCGAAGGGGGGACGGAGAAGGCUAUGUUGGCCGGGCGACGGUUGUCCCGGUUUAAGCGUGUAGGUGUGUGUUCCAGGUAAAUCCGGUUCACUUUAACACUGAGGCGUGACGACGAGGCACUACGGUGCUGAAGCAACAAAUGCCCUGCUUCCAGGAAAAGCCUCUAAGCAUCAGGUAACAUCAAAUCGUACCCCAAACCGACACAGGUGGUCAGGUAGAGAAUACCAAGGCGCUUGAGAGAACUCGGGUGAAGGAACUAGGCAAAAUGGUGCCGUAACUUCGGGAGAAGGCACGCUGACACGUAGGUGAAGUGAUUUACUCAUGGAGC
rnacentral:rRNA from 1 species